CUGAUGGAGCAUACCACGUGAACGAUGAAGGUCUUCUGAUUGUAAAGUUCUUUUAUUUAGGAAAAAAAGCGCGCUAGGAAAUGAGCGCGCCUUGAUGGUACUAAUUGAAUAAGUGACAGCUAACUAUGUGCCAGCAGCUGCGGUAAAACAUAGGUCACGAGCAUUAUCCGGAUUUAUUGGGCGUAAAGGAAGCGUAGGUGGGGAGGUUGAUCCAUUGUUAAAGGCAUUUGCUUAACAAAUGUGUGCGAUGGAGAUCGCCUUCCUAGAGUUAAUCAGGGGGUACUGGAAUUCAAUGUGUAGCGGUGGAAUGCGUAGAUAUAUUGAGGAACACCAGAGGCUAAGGCGAGUACCUAGGAUAUAACUGACACUGAGGCUUGAAAGCGUGGGGAGCAAAUGGGAUUAGAUACCCCAGUAGUCCACGCCGUAAACGAUGGGCAUUAGGUAUUUGACAUCUGGUCGAGUGCUGUAGCUAACGCGUUAAAUGCCCCGCCUGGGUAGUAUAUAUGCAAAUAUGAAACUCAAAGAAAUUGACGGGGACCUGAACAAGUGGUGGAGCAUGUUGCUUAAUUCGAUAAUACACGAAAAACCUUACCAAGGCUUGUAAUCUACUGCAAAGCUAUAGAAAUAUAGUGGAGGCAAUCAGUAAGACAGGUGGUGCAUGGCUGUCGUCAGCUCGUGUCUUGAGAUGUUUGGUUAAGUCCCGUAACGAGCGCAACCCUACUCUCUAGUUACCUAGUUCUAGAGUGACUGAAUCGUAAGAUAUAGGAAGGUUGGGG
rnacentral:rRNA from 1 species